AUUGAACGCUGGCGGCAGGCCUAACACAUGCAAGUCGAGCGGAGCGGCGGACGGGUACGUGAUGGCUAGGCAUCUGCAUGGUGGUGGGGGAUGACGUACGGAAACGGGCACUGAUACCGCAUACUAGCAGAUGAGCCUAGAGCGGAUUGGCUAGUUGGGGGGGUAAAGGCCUACCAAGGCGACGAUACGUAACUGGUCUGAGAGGAGGAUCAGUCACAUUGGAACUGAGACACGGUCCAUACUCCUACGGGAGGAAGCAGUGGGGAAUAUUGGACAAUGGGCGAAAGCCGGCUCCAGCCAUGCCGCGUGUGUGAAGAAGGUCUUCGGAUUGUAAAGCACUUUAAGUUGGGAGGCGUUACCAACAUAAUAAGCACCGGCUAACUUCGUGCCAGCCGCCGCGGUAAUUC
rnacentral:rRNA from 1 species